UCGGUCCGCCUCGAUCGAUUAGCGGCCCUCCGUUGCCUGCAAACGCGCCCGCGUCCGCGCCCGCCGCGUUCCGCCGUCGAUCCUCGGGGUUGGCUUCGAGCCGUCCCUCGGCCCGACGAGACCCCGACGCAGCACUGGCCCUACGAUCAAUCGCCCUCCCUCCGCCAACUCUCUCCGCCUCCAACUCCCUGGUCCAGUUUCCCUCCCCAUCGCAGCAACGCCGCCGCCGCCGUCCAGGGUUCCCCGUCCUGCAUCUCCAUCGGCCUCCAUUGCAAAACACCGCCGCCGCCGCCGCCGUGAGAUCCUCUAGCACCGCCGCCGCCGUCGCCGCAACACCGACACCACUGCCGCCGCAACACCGAUGCCGUCGUUCAGGAUUUUGCCACACCGACCGCCGCCGCAACACCUGCGCCGCCGCCGCCGUCAAGAGUGGCGGCGCUUCGACAGCGAGAGGCGGUGCCCCCCGAUCCAUCCCGGCGGCGGAUCCUGUACAGUGGGAGGGGUGGCGCCCCAAUCUAGUCGCCCAUCCAUCCCCAUCGAGGUGCUCCUCACCCAUCAAAAUUCCUGUCUUGAAAUUCACAUGAUGCUUAACUGAUCCGCCGCACCUCCCCCGCAUUCGUCUGCAGCCGAUUUCCUCCAGUCCGGCACGGAGGACGGGCGUGAGGGCGACCGCCGCACCUGCGCUUGCCUACGCUCGUGCAGGCCAAGGUACCAUCCUGCAAGGGGAGGGCCAGGAGAGCGCCGACGACAUCUGGUGCCUUGGUCAUCACCUUGCGUGAAACGUCGCCGCGCUGGUGGCCAAACUGCAUUCCGCUCUAUUAAAAAGCCGUGAGGAAGAGAGUGGGAUUUGCAUGCUCCUGAAGAAUAUGGAUCGGAGGCCAAGGAACUCAUCCCUCAAUUUAUAGAUUUUAAGGAGGUGAGCAGAAUGGAGGAGAGUUUUAAAGAAUGGUUGGAGACUACGUGCUCCACUGCUCCAGGUGAAAAUUUGAUGCUUUCCUUCUUGUUUUAUCAUUUUGCUUACUCGAAUUAGGGGCACAAAAUCUGGUUCGCCUUUGACCUGAAGGGUUGUUCAGCGCAUAAACUUUUUUACAUGAAUAGUGGACUGCACAUACUGCCUCAUUUCAUGGACAAUGGUAAGUUCAAACAAAUUCUUCUAGGCAUUUCUACAUCCUCUUAACUAUACUGCAUUUUCUUUUUAUAUUUUAUAUUAUUAUGUUCACCACAUGGGUGUGUUGGUUUCUUUCCUCUUUAUUGCAAGACCAAUUUAUCUCUUGCUUCCUGCACUAGGCUGUUUCUUAUUGAUCCUUUUCCUGAAUAAUUGUAAGAUUAGUUUGUGCUUUGGAAUUGUAAAACCCAUUCUAUUAUUUGUGUACUAUUUGGCAUUUUAAUUUAUUUUAAGUGAGAGAUUAUUAGGUUAACGUUCUGUCACACAAAAGCAAGGUAAGCUUGCUUAUUGCAGCUUAUAUCAGUAUUUCCUUCUCACUUCAACUGUACUAAUCAGAUUAAUAAUGUCCCAUCAUAUGAACCACACUUUAUGUUGUUAACCUAUUUUCCCUAAUCGGUCAUGAGUUACUUGCCGCAGUAAGAUGCUGCUACUCUCUUCAAUAGCAUUAGGUUACAUAUACACAAUGAAGUAAAGUUUGUUAGAAUGGAAAAACAAAAUGAUUCUUCUGAUCUUCCUGCAAGUGGCAAGCAUUUGUAUUCUAAGCCUUUUGAUUUGGUUUCUAAUAUAAUUUUUAGUUGAUAAGAAAUUUAUUGGUCCCGAUUGUCAUAAGAUCUUAGAAGCCUGAUUAGAUCUCUGUCCAAUUCAAUCGGCAUGGAGCUGAGAAGGUGGGUUGUAUUCUGGUAGGGAAUAUUAGCUUGAUAAAAAUACCCUGAUGUUUUAUCGUACACUACAUGAGGCCUACUUUAUCAUUGGACAAUAUUUUACUAUCUUCUGAAUUAUAUGGUGAAGCAUCACAUUUUAUCCUACUAUCCUAGUGUAUUACAGCUUCAUAUUGCAAAUGCUGUAAGUUCCCAAAAAAACAGGGAACGUAUGAGAUGACAAUGCUUUGAUCCCUUUCCCAUUAUCUCAUCAAUACAAAGGCAAAUAUAUUAUCCUUUAUCCCUUUUCCAUUAUCUCCGUAAUUAAGAAGGGGACUUCAGAGAUUUUAGGGAUAAAGGGCCGGCUGAUAACUCAGGCGCAGGGAGGGGAAAUCGCCCUGAUGAUUUUAGGGAACAAGGGUUAAAUUUCCUUAUGAGCCUAUAUUUAAUUCUAGAUGUCUUUUUUACAAAACGUGGUGGGCACAUAUUCCAAACCAGCUGUGCUACAUUGUCAUGAAUAUUUUGUUUUCAUCUUGUGUUGCAAUAUUGAUCCCUUGUAUGAAUGUAUGAUAAACUGAUGGCUUUAUCUGAUUACUUCAUGCAGUGUGAUGACAUAAGCUACAAUGCAAAGUAUGAGCAUAUUGUUUUUCAGAGGUACUUACUACUUGUUUGUGAAAUUGGCUUCCACAUGUAUUAAAAUGCAUAUGGCCGAAUGGCACGACAAGAGUGCUAAGAUAUGAUUGUGAGCUCUUUGCUGAUUGUUGGCUUAGCGAUUGUUCUUUCAAUUGAGCUAUAUAUAUUUCUUGCUGCUCAUAGACUGAAAGCUUGCCAAAUUGUGGUAGUCCAUUAGAUUAGUUUUCAGCUCAUAAACUGAAAGUACAGCAAACAACUGUAUUAGCUCGGGUGCCGUUUGCAUGGGUGAUUCUUUGUUUGCCGUGUUGGCUUUUUAGUUAGGUUGUACAUAGUAGAAUGCAAACUUUCUCAAUUGAUCUUACUAUUUCCAUUUCAUUGUGCCUAUGGAAUGGUCAAGAUGUGGUCAGUGAUAACCAAAGCUAUAUAUCUUAUUUUAGUGUUUGACAUGUGUGGCCAUUUUGUAGGGUGAUCAGCAUGCUUAGCAUUGGUGGGUUUUGGAUCUUUCAGAAUUUGACAGGGUCAGACUAAUCUGGCUUCUCCUCAUUACAGAACUGAAUUGUGAACUCUAUAGAGUUGUAGCAUAGAAUUUAGUUGUUAUAUAUGGGAAUUUUGAAUUGCAGUAUUGACUGUUUGUAUGCAGUAACUGGUGGUGUAGAACAUCCCGAAUCUGUUUGACACAGCAGUUACUUUUUUGUAAAUACACCUGUUCUUGAUAGGCAGGAUAGUGAAAUCGCUAAAUGAAUGGCUUGCCAAAUGUGUUGAGUGAUCACAAUGGUGAUAAAAAAGCUGUUAAAAGUAUUAAGUUUUUUCUGAUACAGAAACAUGUGUCUAGCUGAAUGGUGCUUACAGGAACAGCUGCUAUAAUUUCUUACUUAUACUAAUUCAGUGGUAUGCCAAAUCUUUUUCUUUAUGAAUUGACUAUUUCCACCACUUCAUGUUCCCUUCAUAUGCUUAUGACUUUUGGACACUGACACCCGCUCUCAUCCAAAUAUGGUCAUUUUUUUUCUUUUUUUCCUUUUCUUUGACAUCUGUUUUUCCUUCUUUUUUUUGGAGCAAAGCAGGUCCGUUGGUAUGCAUGUUUUGGGUAAUAUAUGUCACUCAACUUUAACUAUGGGGUGAAUUUAGAAUUAGAAUGACUCAUGUAGGUUGGAAGGAGCACCAUAUUUCAUAAGCCUCAUACUUUGCACCAUUUUCACUAUUACCGCGGUCUUUACUGUUAAGCUCCAGGUGGAAGAGUAGUCAAAUAUUUAGUGAGGAGUUUAAGCUAUUCAUAUCAGAAUUAUAACUUUGGUCCUAUCUAAGUCAUAAAUAGUCUAUUAUUUGGAUGUAGUGAUCUGUAUGUAUCCUAUACACUGAUAUUGUUCAUCAUAUCAAGAUUUAUGUCUGAAUUCCGUAUUUGUCCUGAGAAAGUAGAUUUAUGUCAGAUUUCUGUUACAUCUGAUGAGAAAGUAGAAGCUUUUGAUCACAAUGAAAGAGAUGGUAUGCAUUCACCAUAACAAGAGAAGUUAAUUUAUUUUUGUCUCUAAUGUCCAUGUCCUCUUACCUAUGUUUAAAGUUUCAUAUGAGGACCAUGAAAGAGCUUACUUUGAUUCUGCUGACUGGGCUUUGGGGAAGGUACUGUCCUGGUAUUUUCAGGACUGGUUGUUUAUCUAGGGUCUGUUCAGGCCGUUUGGUUCAGUGAGCUUGAAUCGUUACUAUAGUUGGACAUAAGGCAAAGAGCAAAUGUAUAUUCAGUUUCAAGUGUUGUGUUAAACUUGAACUGAGACAUGGUGUUGGAUUAUAAUUUUACUUGAAUUAACUAUUUUUGUAUA